UUUUGUUCAGGAACUUGCCUCAGAAUAAGGAGUUUGGAGAUGUUCAUGUUUACAAUGCUGCUAUUUCUGGCCUUCUCUGUUGCGAAAGGUAUGAUGAUGCAUGUAAGGUGUAUGAGACCAUGGAAGCAAAUGGCAUAUCUCCAGAUCACGUGACAUGUUCUAUAAUGAUUACAGUGAUGAGGAAAAUGGCCCGUAGUGCAAAAGAGGCUUGGGAGUUUUUUGAGAGAAUGAAUAGGAAGGGAGUCAAAUGGAGUCCAGAAGUUCUGGGUGCUUUGAUCAAAUCAUUCUGUGAUGAGGGACUGAAGAACGAAGCCCUAAUUAUCCAAGUAGAAAUGGCAAGGAAAGGGAUUUCUUCAAAUGUUAUUGUAUAUAACACAUUAAUGGAUGCUUUUAAUAAAUCCAACCAAAUUGAAGAAGUUGAGGGUCUCUUUACUGAGAUGAAAGGUAAAGGCCUUAAGCCAACAUCUGCCACCUUUAACAUUCUUAUGGAUG
rnacentral:misc_RNA from 1 species